AAAUCACUUUGUGCGCGUAACAGCCCAAUCCAACAAAAUAGUUGGAAAAAGUUGACCGUGGAAAGUGUGUCAAUGUCAAACCAAAAGGAAGACGACAAAAAUUGACAAGCCAUAAAGGUACGAUAAAAAGUCAAGAGAAAAUAUUCCAAUGACUUUCGAACAAAUUUAUUCCAUUGGCCAACACGAUUGUAGUCCAUAAAUAUUCGUGAAACAUGGGAAAAUCUGAUGAAGCGAAGGUCCAUUCUAGUUCCUUAUCGGAGAUGAGACUUAUCUUCAACACAGCAUUAUAGAAACCAACCAAAACGUACGAUUGAAAGUUGAUCCCGCUGUAGUAAUUGAUUAUCCUUUCAGUCGUGGUUUCGAGCCUGAACUGAUGCUCAUAGGUUUCAAAAAGGGAGAGCAAAUAUCGCUUCUGAUCAGGUCUAUGUCUGUAUCUAGGCUACGCCUAUGUGGAAAUACCCCACACGGUCUUCAAGUUCUACGAAAAGAAUUGCCAAUUUGCAAAACUUAAUAAGGAUUGAAUGAAAAACAAGACAUUAUGUUGGACGUUUUGGGCACUUUUUCCUCAAAAUUGCCUUAAGAUUCUGAACAGAUAAAUAAGACCAAGUCCGAAUAUGUAUUAUAUUAAUUUUUAUUCUUAUUCCAUGAAACUGUUGUACUUCA